ACGAACACUACAUAUGGUGGUGCUCGCUUCCCUCGGCACUAGAUGUAUGCUCGUGCUCGCUGUCGUCGCAGGGGAAUCCGGUGUGAUUCCGGAACUGUCCCGCAACGGUAUGUGAUGGGCUGAUUUCAGAUGGUCCGUCAUGAGUCCGAACACCUGCCGUCAGUAUCGAGAACGUC
rnacentral:ncRNA from 15 species